rnacentral:rRNA from 1 species
CACGGGGGGGAGCAAGCGUUGUUCGGAAUCACUGGGCGUAAAGGGCGUCUAGGCGGUCAGGUAAGUGGGAUGUGAAAUGCCCCGGCUCACCCGGGGGACCGGCAUCCCCAUACUGCUUGGCUUGAGUACGGGAGAGGAUGUAGGAAUUCCUGGUGUAGCGGUGAAAUGCGUAGAUAUCGAGGAGGAACACCGGUGGCGAAGGCGCACAU